rnacentral:rRNA from 1 species
AAUCCAGUUGAUCCUGCUGGCGGUUGCGGCUCUCUGAUUUGCGCUUAGACAUGCAAGUCUGACGAAAGUCGGCGAACUGCUCAGUAACACGUAGCUAACCUACCCUUAGGUCAGGCAUACCCUCGGGAAACUGAGGUUAAUUCCUGAUAAGAGACAUACCCUGGAAUGAUUUGUCUCCCAAAUUCGAGCCAAAGGAUGGGGCUGCGGCGGAUUAGGUAGUUGGCGGGGUAAUAGCCCACCAAGCCUGUGAUCCGUAAGGGCUCUUAGCGGAGAGGCCCUGAGAGGGAAUCUGAGACACUAUUCCCAGCCCUACGGGGUGCAGCAGUUAGGAAUCAUCUGCAAUGCGCGAAAGCGUGACAGUUUGAACCAGAGUGCUUCUCACUUGAGAAGCUUUUGCCAAAUGUAAAAAGUUUGGCGAAUAAGGACUGGGUAAGACGAGUGCCAGCCGCCGCGGUAAUACUCGCGGUCCAAGUCGCAGCCAUCUUUAUUGGGUCUAAAACAUCCGUAGCUUGCCUGGUAAGUUCCUUGUGAAAUCUUAUCUCUCAAAGAUGAGGCGUGCAAGGAGUACUGCCAGGCUAGAGACCGGCAGACGCAGGAAGUAUGUUCGAAGUAGCGGUAAAAUGCGUUAAUCUCGGACAGACUCACAACAGCGAAGGCAUCCUGCGAGGACGGUUCUGACUGUCAGGGAUGAAGGCUAGGG